UAUGUAGUUCGGCUUUGCAAUUG
rnacentral:miRNA from 1 species